rnacentral:rRNA from 1 species
CGCGAACCGGCUCAUUAUAACAGCUAUAAUUUACUUGAUUUUCGCUUUCCUACUCGGAUAACUGUGGUAAUUCUAGAGCUAAAACAUGCACCAAAGCUCCGACCUUACGGGAAGAGCGCAUUUAUUCGAACAAAGCCAAGCGGCUUCGGCCGUCCGCAGUCGACUCAGAAUAACUAAGCUGAUCGCAAGGUCUUGAACCGGAGACGUGUCUUUCAAGUAUCUGCCUUAUCAACUUUCGAUGGUAGUGUAUCUGACUACCAUGGUGGUGACGGGUAACGGAGGAUAAGGGUUGGACUCCGGAGAAGGGGCCUGAGAAAUGGCCACUACGUCUAAGGAUGGCAGCAGGCGCGCAAAUUACCCACUCUCAGAAUGAGGAGGUAGUGACGAGAAAUAACGAGACCGUUCUCUACGAGGCCGGUCAUCGGAAUGGGUACAAUUUAAACCCUUUAACGAGUAUCUAUGAGAGGGCAAGUCUGGUGCCAGCAGCCGCGGUAAUUCCAGCU